UGGGCAUUUUAUAGUAAAACCAACUUGCAACUUACCAGAACUUACAAAUUUGAGUCGAGCUGUCAUGUCCUCUCAUUAAGCUUUUAUAUUGACCAUACAGACUGUAAUUUGUGUAUUUAGCCAAGCCUUUUUGAAUGUUAAGAGAGGAGAAAUUACGAUUUUACAAAUGUUUUAGAACAUUCACAUCACAGUGUUAAUGUCUCUGCACCAGCUGCGGUUAGUGCUCUACCUGCAGCUGUUCCUGCUGGUAGCCAUCUUGAGGAAAUGUCAGGUUAAAAAAAAAAAAAAAAAAAAACAGAGCCUUGACCUGGCCACCGCUGUUGUUUUAAAGGGAGAGAGGUGAGGACCUUCCUCCUGAGGGACUGGUGGUCUGACCUGAGGAGCAACGUUCAGGGACGUGAACCACAAAGAGCAAGCGGAGGGCCAUGUCUUUAUAGGGAGCUUCAGCUGGAGGCUGGCAAGUGGAGUGGAGCAGAGCAGGCGGCCCCAGUCCCACAGCCCUUUUAGCCCCAGACCCAGACCUCAGGCAGGGUCCAGCCUUCCAGUUUCCAUCAUUCAUGUUUGUUCUUCUUCACCUUGAUUCCUGUAAGAGUCAACCAUCUGAUGUACAGGUCACAGGGAGAGGAAAUGGCAAUCCCAGCUGAGGACGAGGAUAUAACCUAUUAACUUUCUCAUCUGUGGAAGGGAAGAAUGGAUCACUCAGUAAGUCUUCUCUUCUAACUGGUGGCUGGUUUCCUUUCCCAAAGGACGUUAGCAGUUACUGUAGAAUUGAAAGGUUUCCUAUGGCAGCUCUGGAUGCGAGUGCAGGAAUUCGGCUGUGAUUUAUGACUAUUUAGACAAGUGGUUAACAGAGAGAUGUAGAAUUAUGGAAAUACUGCUUUCAUAUGAAAUACGCAGAACACGUCAUGUGGGCUUCAGUGACCACUUAAUCUGUUGGCAGGCCCAAACCCCCCUUGAGCUUGUCAGAUGCACAGGGCUGCUUUUCACUCCUCACACUGAAUAUUUGACUUCCUUAUGAACUUGACAGUUAUUGCUAGUUGGAAGUCUCGAGGCCUCACUGGAGUGACAUGAAUCCCUAUAUCUCCAGCAAGGAGAGAAAUGUGGAUCAACACAGAGGCUGCAGAAAUACAGCAUCACCUUGAUAAUCAGUUAAUGUAAAAAGACGUAAAGAUGGAGCCUUAACUCUUGUAUAAACUGCACAAGAUUAAUGCAAAUUCAUACACAGUACUUAUAUCAUGCGGUCACUAAUGAAAUGUGAUUUGUGAUUAUUGGAGGAUAUAACUCAAUAGAUAUAACAGAUAAUAUGGACGGAACUGAAUUAGCAUACUACCACCACCGAAAUAUAGAUAAAAUAUUAUGGACCAUAGCUAAAUGUUUUAAUUAUAAAUAUGUAUUUCAGCACAAUUUAUUUUCUAGGAUAAUUGUUUGCUCCUUUAAAUGGUACAGGGGAUAAACAGAUAUGAAAUAAUCUAUAAUGGUUCUUCCCACUCACAAGCACUUUUAGAGAACGUAUGAACGUGCUUGGUUGUCAGCGGCUGCCAUGUUUUCUGAUGUGGUGAAAAGAAGGGAAUGGAGAGUAGGAGAGGAUGUCACAGGCUGCAGAGAGACGAGCGUCUGGCCCACCUCUUCUCUAACCCCCAUCACUCAACAACACUGAGGGGCUUUUCUCAUCGCAGAGGUGGGAGCCAGGAGAUGACCAAGGGUCAGACUGACAUGCAGACAUGAA